UACGUAGGCAGCAAGCGUUGUUCGGAGUUACUGGGCGUAAAGGGUGUGUAGGCGGUUGUUUAAGUUUGGUGUGAAAUCUCCCGGCUCAACUGGGAGGGUGCGCCGAAUACUGAAUGACUAGAGUGCGGGAGAGGAAAGUGGAAUUCCUGGUGUAGCGGUGAAAUGCGCAGAUAUCAGGAGGAACACCAAUUGCGAAGGCAGCUCGCUGGAACGUAACUGACGCUGAGACGCGAAAGCGUGGGGAGCAAACAGG
rnacentral:rRNA from 1 species